ensembl:lncRNA
GCAAAACUUAUGAGUUUAUAUAUUGUUAAUAUGUGAUCACAAGUUUCCAUGUCCUUUGGGUAAGGAGGCACAACAAUUUGAAUAGUUUAGACAUUUAGAAUAUUUGCCUUCACAAGGUAACAGGAAAUUGAUACAAUAGGACAAUACCUUUUCCAAAUAGCAAACUCAAAUACUAAUUUUUUAUUUCUGAGUUACAUUUUAAUUAUCUAUAGACUUUAACAGCUACGUGUAAUACAUAAGAUUUUUGGUACUAAAAAUUAAAGAAGUCACAUCAUACACAGUAAUUUGACCAAAAUAAAAGGAACAUUUCUUCAGCCACAUUUGUUGGUAUUUGACCCCCAAAUUUAUGAAAAGCAAAGGAUGAUCAUGUAGAAAUUCUUUUACAUUGUUUUAUUACUAACAAACUACAAAUGGGCGCAGGAUGCAAAAAAAACUCAAUACAAGUUUGCAUAUGACAUUUAGAAAGGGAAUAUUGGGGUCAGCAUUGUUUCUCAGGAACACAUUGCUGACCAUGUGAACUGUUAGAACAGGGACUCUACUAUCCCUGUACACAAAACAAAGCAACUCAGUAAAUGUUCCAUUAACAGCAAUGUGUAAGCACAAGUUAGUGUUCAGCCUAAUCCGUCCACAAUUCAGAUACACACAGAGACUUAUAUUUUAUAAGCUAUGUGUCCUUUGGCUCAGGAUACUUAUUGGCUAGUUCUCUCUAACUACUAACCCAUUUCUAUUAAUCAGUGAAUGUCUAGGUGGUUUUGGCUUACCAGAGAAUGACCAGGCAGCUAUCCUCCCAGCAGAAACUACAUGGCAACUGUCUGAAGACUCACUCUCUGUGUUCUCUAUCAAAAACCUCCUACUCUCAUGGCACUGACUAUAUGUCGUCCCUUGCUAUAUCCUGAGUGGCCAUUGUCUAACACAGCUUUAUUCAUCAACUAAGAAGAGAAACAUAUAUUCACACAAAUAUAGAAGGGCAUCCCUCAUCAUCUCAUCUUUUCUGUUUGGAAAAACAAAGAAGUUUAAAUUUCAUAUAGUCCAAUUAUGUAUUGCAAAAGUUUAUAAGGAAAAACUAUAAAUACCAACAUGUAAUCCAUUAACAUUUGAUAGAAUUUAAGAAAAUAUUCCAUCAUCUAUCCUAUCUUUGUUAGUUUGAAGCUUUAUAUGCAACUUAUCUUUUAUUAUCACUAAGGAAAUACAUAACCAUAUUUAUCAGUCUUCAACACCACCAAGGACUCCAGAAAGAGUCUCUCUCUUCGAAGAAUGUCACCCAAAGUUCCUCUGUCAGGUUGGGGGCAUCCCUCUUCAGCCUAUAUGCACAGAAUGUCUGGCAGACUUUCUGAUGAAGUAGGAACAUGAAGGAUCAUCCUCUUCCUUGGCAACUUCUGCAGUCACUCUUCUUUGUAACAUGCUAGUUCAGUUUGGACAGCAUGCUAUCAAGCUGUCAAGGAAAGGGAAGUUUCUUGUCCAAAUGGCUAGUCCUGCCAGGUCAAAGGCAAAAAUCCAUAACAAGUUUCUCUGAUGCCCAUCUUCCUCUCCGACCUAACCUCCUUACUUCAUAAGAUGAUCAUAUUUCUAGAUGACCAAUUACCAUCUCUUCAAGUUAAUGUCUAUAAUCAGUUGUUUCUUUUAAAGGAAAAGUAUGAAAAAGAAGAAAAAACUUAGCAAUUAUUGGCAGCUCUUGUAAACAAUAAGGCCAAAAUGGGCAAAAAAAAAAAAAAAAGGUAAAAAGGUUACCAAUGAGGAUUUCAUUAAAAGCUAUCAAUGCUAGGCUUAGAAUGUGGAUUGCUCAGCCAUCACAACAACCUGGCUCUAUCGCUAUAAUCCCCAUUUCUGGCAAAAAGACUGAUUUGGCACACUGUUUACAUAGUUUAACUAUCAGCAUAAAAAACCACAAUGUUGAAAGAACAGCAUACCAUAUAUUUAUAUGCCACCUGCUGUAAUGUUUACAUUUAUCACAGGUGAAACAGCACAACUCCUUUCUAGGAAGCUGUAACUAUGGUUAGCUGCUCAGUUUACAAGGCUAUUUACAAGUAAUUUCUAAAAGGCUACUAAUGUUAUUACUUAGAUCCAGAUAAUUAUCUAUAAUGAAAGUACAAGAUUUAAACCAGGAGAACAUGGUCCCAUCAUUCUGAAUGUUUUCCAGGAAAACAUUCUAUGUUGUUUAACUACAGUCAUCUAAUUAGAAAACAUUUAAACUUUGGCAAUUGGGGACUGCCCAAGUCAUCUGUGUCUCUCCUAAUCUUGAAGUAGGCAACUUAAAAUUAAUCACUGGUUGGAAAAAAACAGACUUUAUAACUACUAUAAUAAAAUUAUAUUAGGAAUAGUAAUAUCACUUCCAAAAACAGAAAUAAAAAUCUAAAUAAUAAAAAGAGAAAAAAAUAUCUUACUACAGUAUUCUGAGGAAAAGGUAAGGGGACUCACUAUAGCAGCGAUUCACGACUGCAGUCAUCAAACUCUUGUUUCAUGACAUAACACAAAAAACCUGAAUUACCCUAUAGUCUACUAUAUAAUCUCCUAAAAUAACUUACGAAAAUAAAAAUAAUACAUAUAAUAAACCUAACAUGCAACUAUUCUCAACAUACAACUUGAUUCUACCAAAACACACUCUAAAUAAUCACCUGAUUAAAUACAUGCAUACUUUUACUUGUAAUGUUUUAUCUACAAGCACUCACAUGGAAACUUAAAGAAUAAACUUUUUUUUUUUUUUAGCUAAAAAGCUACUACUAAAACUUAAUUUGUACUUAAAAAAAAAAAAAAAAAAAAACAACCAAACGGUACAUAUUCACUAAGGCUACCCUGCUCUAUUAAAGACCAGGCCAAAAAGAACUAUGUUCCAAUAGGAACUCUGGGAAGAGCAAAACUGAAAGAAAGGCUAUAUCUAGCUUGCUCUCCAUUGUAGGGAGCAAUGGAACAGCAGGGGUGGGAGGGGGGACACAGUAAUAAAAACAGCAGUAAUAAACUUAUUGAUAAAACUUUUAGACAGCAGUAGUAGGAAAUUUGGUGAAUCAACUUAAGAUAAUUCCUUAUUACUAUAUAGGGCUUUAUUAGCUCAGUGGAUUCCCUGGCCACCUAUGACUUCUCUUACACUUUGCUGAUUUUAAAGAUUUGUUUUAAUUAACAUUCCAGCAAACAGCCUCUUCUUAAGUCUUCAUUUAAACCCAGUAUAUCUAGUGUCUCUUAGAACUAGUCUGCAGUAAGGUCUUGUCCUAAUGAUGACAACCUUUAUUAAUAUUUAUACCAUACCGAAAUUCUCAUAUCUGAAGUCAAUUUUCAAUGUAAUUUUUCAUAUUGGCAAGAAUAAUUAAGAAAUCAAAAAUUUUAGAAAGAGGUACUUUUGGCACAUUGCUAAGUAAAAUAUUUAGCUGGUCCCACGGUUUCAAAUGUGAUUCCAGCAGCUCAGAAGCAGAGGCAAGAGUAUUACAAACAGGACAGACUUGUCUACAUGUGAAGUUCAAGGCUAGCUUUGCCCUGUCUCAUAAUAAAAAAUAGCCAUAUUAUGAAAAUUACCCCUAGCUAAUUCUGAAACUCUGAGAUAUCUUUAGUGGAUAAACAUGGGAUUCAUAACUAGUGAGACAGACCACAACUUAAAAUAUAUUUUGAUGACUUCAGAUUUCCAAUUCAUAUUUCUCCAAGCUAAUUCUAUAGUCAUUUUUUUUAAAAAACAGGAAAAGAAUGAAAAAGAAAACAUUUAACAAUCAUUGGCAGCUUUUGUUAAAGAUAGGGUGAACAAUGGGUUAAAAAGAUAAAAACAAAACAACAUAAAAGAGAGGUAAAACAGCGACCAAUGAAGAUUACACUAAAGACAAUUCAUGGUCUAGGCUUGAACUGCAGCUUUCUCAGCAGGUACAAGGUCCUGCAUCUAUGCCGAAGAUCCCCAUCUCUGCCAAAACUACUGAUUUAGCACACUAUUCACAGAGUUUAACCAAACACAUAAAAAAACACAAUGGAUACUUAAUUGAAAGACCACCAUAGCAUACAUUUAUGUGUCCCAGGCUGAAAUAUUUACAUUUAUGAAAGAUGAAACAAUAUACCUCCUUUUUAGAGGGCUGGAAAGGUUAUGGAUGAGUAGAUGCUCUAUUUAUAAGGCUAUUUACAAGAAAUUCCUAAAAGGCUACUCAAAUGAUUACUUAAGCCAAGAAAAUUAUCUAUAAAGAAACUAGAGGAUUUAAGCCAGGAGAAUGCAGUCACAUCAUUCUGAAUGUUUUCAGGGAAAACAUUCUAUAUCGUUUAACUGAAGUCAUCUAAUUACAAAACAUUUACAGUUUGACACUAGGGUACUAACCAAGUCAUCUGUGCCUUUCCUUAUCUUGGAGUAGGCAGCAUAAAUUUGCUCACUGUGUGAAAAAAAAAAGACUUUAUAGAUACUACAAUAAAAUUACAUUAGGAAUAGCAACAUCACUUUUAUAAACACAGAAAUAAAAAUCUCUAACAAAAAAGUACAAAAUGUCCUUACUUCAGUAUUCUGAGGAAAAGGUAAGGGGAUUCACUAUAGCAGCGAUUCAAAACUGCAGUCAUCAAACUCCUGUUUCAUGACAUAACACAAACACACUAAACCUGAAUUGCCCUAUAGUCUACUAACAUAAUCUAAUAAAAUAAAGAAACCUAACAUACAAAUAUUCUCAGCAUAAAACUGGAUUCUAACAAAGCACCCUUUAAAGGCACACUUUCCAACCUAAUGCAAUCUGAAACUACCUUAAUUACUUACCAAACAGCCUUGAUGUUAUUACAGGUUGGUUAUGUAAUCAUCAGUAAUGAGAGUUAAAUAUUUAUUUUCUAAUGCCAAAUUACAUUUUUAUAUUAUUUUUAUUCCAUAAUCAAUUAGUGUAAUUUGUUAAUCUUCAAUGCCAAUAGUUUGUGCUACUAAUUUUCUCCUACACUUUAAGGAGACAGCAUUUUAAUAUUUUCAUUCUCGUUUUAUGAAUACUACUUUCUUAAUGAUCAAUGGUUAAACCAACUUUAUUAACUAUUCUAUUGUGAAAGGAUAUAAUGAGAUACCUAAGCUUUACAAUCAAAUUCAAGCUCAAUUUUCUUUUAUAAUCGUCUUUGAUUCCUUUAUUUUUUUUCUACACCCACUGCUGUUAACCAUGAAGAACAUUCUGCAUUCCCUGUGCAGCAUCACUGGUUUCAUCUUCUGAGUCAGACUCAAUCUGGGAUGUGGAGCUGUGUGACGAAGAGUUCCUGGGGGAAGAGCAUUCUGGAGAACACAAAUAAUGCACCAGCGGGACGUCAUACCUCCCACAGAAGUCCACAGUCACAAUUUAUCUGGCAAAGCAGUCAAAAUACACUCUCCUAUAUUUGCGCUUCUGCAAUUGCUGGCUGCACCCAAGUAUCUUAACAGAUUCCCAGGAAGAUAAGAGUGAGUGUCAGAAAUAUUUCUGGAUCUCAAUGGUCUUUGCAAGUAAUUUCAGAAGAGUUGGAGGCCAUAUGUUAAAUCACUAACCAUACACACAAACAAUGGAUUUCCUCGGAAACUCAGUUCUUCCAAAUGAAUAGUGUUGAGGAUCUCUGGGGGCAGGUAUGUCAGCAAGUUACUGAAGAGAGCUGGGAAAACCAUGCAACUGCGAAAGCUGAGAAAACGCAGUAGAAUUUUGUUGUCGCAUUAACACCAAGCAAUUGAGAGAAGGUAGAUUUGCUAAUUCUGGUGGGAUUCGUUUACUGAAGUUUCCUCAAAGGAAUAAGCAUUCUAAAUUCUGAGACUUCUCCAUCUCACCGGGGAUACUCUGGAAUCAGUUGCACCCCAGGUUAAGGGUCUGUAGGGCUCCCCCUCCAAAAGCUGCCUAGGCCCCUCCUGGAAGCAAUUGUCUGUGAGGCUGAGUACCUGGAGUCUGAGGCAGAGCUGUGACUGGGUCAGUUCCUCCAGCAGCAUGCCUGUGUUGUCGAGCCUGUUGUUCCUGUCCAUCAGCAUGUCCAGUCGGCUCUGCCACAGCAGCUCUGUUCCCAGCGCCAUGGGCGGAUCCCUGCUCAUGUCGGGUAGCUGGAGGUGGGGGUUAGCGGCUUCUCUGCGUCCUGGAAACAUUGUCAGAUGGUUGUAGGGCAGCAGCAGCCAAAGCAGCGCCACCUGAGAGCCCAGCAGCUCCUCGGUGCUCCCCUCUAGCUUCAGAGCCUAGGCCCACAGGCUGAGGAGGGAGCAGCUCAGUCCACGUCUCCCUUAGAUGCCUCAGGGAUCUGGCUGGAUUCCCAGGCUGCUGCCAGCUGACACCGUGGCACCUCCCGGAACCGGAAGUGAGCUCUGUGUGGGAUGUGGCUGGGCUAGGGGGUGUUCCGCUGCUUGCUCACUCUUUUUUUUUUUUUUUUAAGAUUUAAGGGAAAUGUGGACUUUUAUCAUCUUAUGAACUGAAAAUGUGUUGAAACAUUCUAUAAUAUAGAUCGAAUGUAGCUGAGAUCAUUGACAGAUGAUUAAUUCAUGUGUGAGAUGGAGUACGUGGGAGAGCUCUUGUGACUGUCAUUUUCCACGGCAUGUCUUACAGACAGAGUUCCCACAGACACCUUUCUGUUUCCUCAGACUUCAGUGCAGGAUCCAGAAAAGUUAAAUUGAAUUCUGAGAGGGAACAGAGAGCAUAGCAUCGAAGAUGGGACAGAGGAAAACUGGAGGGUUUCAAAGCGUUUGUUGCAGUGUGUUUCUUGGGUUAUAGUAAAAUGAUUUGCUUUUACAUAAAGCCAAAAUAUAAAUAGCUGUGUAGACGGGUCACUCAGCAAUAGACUUGCAUUACAUGUAUGAACCUUUGAGUUUUAUCUCUCCAAUAAGGAGGAGACUCAGUCAAAAUUAUGUGUUCUAGGAAUCCCAGGACUUGAGAAACAGAAGUUGUCAGGUGUCUGUGGUUUGCUGAUCACCCAACUGAAAUAACGAGGUGAAUUCCUUUUACUGAAAACAGUGACUCAGCUUGAUGGAAGCAGAAGCAGACACCCACAGAUACACAAUAAGCUGAACUCCUGGAAUCCACUUGCCAAGAGGGAGGAGUGAUGAGCAAAACUGUCAAGACCAGAAUUUGGUUCAUAGGCACAAUUGCACCAUGAGGAUAUCUAGAUGGAUCACAAUGAUAAUAUGGGAAAAAACAGAAGCCUCAGUGGAAGUGUGAAACUCAAUUGAUGAAUUGUCUCCAUCCUACUCUGCUGUCAUCAUAUUGUACUGUCCUGAAUUUGGUUGGUUAAAGUUUGAAGUCAGAAGCCCAUUGUGGGAAAUCUCACUCCUGGGGAAGUCUUCGAAGUUUCUAUAAGAAAUCAAGAUAAAUGAGCCAUGGUGAAUAAGCCAAUUGAAAAAAAUCAGGGUUGAUCAAGGAAAAUCCCCUGCAACACCCCUGAUGGUAGUGGAUGGUUCAAAUGAUUCAACAACUCAGAGAGCAUGUGUUUCAGUUUCCUCUGAGUUAUACAUGCAGAAUAACUUCAAGCUAGUGAGGAGAAGACUUAGAAACAGAAUUCGCGAAAACGCUUCCUGGUCAUUACCGACUUUGAAAAUCCACAUUAAAGCUAAAGACUUAAUGCAGUCCCUUCUCCCUCGACCCCUAAAAAGGACCCGGAACAGGAAGUGCGUCACAAUCCCAUUCUGGGGACGGACCAGGCUGCCUAGGAAACUACAGGAACCAAAGAUUCUCUUUGUUGGCGAUUUCCUUCAGAACAGCAAUCACAGUCGCACUUCCUGGCUGCAGCUGAAUAGCUUUGAGCGUUGGUUUAAUUCUUUAAAUGAAAGCUUCUCUUUAUUUGCGAUUUUACCCUAUCAGCAAACACAGUCGCACUUCCACGUUGGGGAGAGUAGCUUUGAGAACGAAAUUUCACUUUUUAAAAAAUCUCUUCAUUUGCGAUUUCCCCUGACUACCAGAGUCGCACAUCCAGGUUGCAGAAGAGUGACAUGAAAGCAGGAUUUCUUCGCUUAACUGAAGAAACCUUCCACAGCACUUGUGUGAAAUUUGGCUGCAUUAAAUCAAUCAUGUGUGACAAACAUGUUCAAAGCAGUAACAAAUCACUCUUUAUGAGAUAAGGAAAGAUCUUUAGCAUCCAUCUUCAGCCUAUAUGCCCAGGACAUAUGGCACAUUUUUUUAUGAAGAAGGAACUUGAAGGAUCACCCUUUCCAUUGGCAACUUCAGCAGUCACUCUUCUUUGUAACCUGCCUGUCGAGUUUGGACAGCAUUGUGUCAAGCAUUCAAGGAAAGAAGUUUCUUGUACAAAUGGCUGGUCCUGCCAUGUGAAAGGGAACUGGACAUGACCAUGAUGAACAUAUAUAUGAAAUAUAAAUCCUUUGACAACAUUGCAACUCUUACAUGGACAUUCAAGAUGAAACCACUAAGAUUUCCAAACAUCUUCAAGCUCAACUUUCUUUUUUAAUCACCUUUGGUGAGUUUAAGUAUUUUUCUACACCCACUGCUGUUAUCCACGAAGAUCAUUAAGCAUUCUGUAUGCAGGAUUCCAGGCUUCAUCUUCUGAGUCAGAUGCCAUCUGAGAUGUGGAGCUGUGUGAGGCAGAGAUGCAAGGGGAAGAGCAUUCUGGAGAACACAAACAAUGCCUCGGGGAUGUGAUACUUCCAACAGAAAUCCACAGACUUAAUUUGUCUGAAAGAGCAGUCAAAAUACACUCCUCCAUACUUGGGGUUUGGGCAAUUGCUGGCUAAACACAAACAUCUAAGGAGCUUCCCAGGAAGAUCAUGGGGAGUGUAAGAAAUACUUCUGGAUCUUAAUGAUCCUUGCAGGUAUUGCCAGAAGAACUGGAGAGUCAAAUGUUAAAUCUUGACCAAAGGAAACAAAAAACAAUGUAUUUCAUAAAAAACAACUCUUCCUGAUGUGUAAGUCUGAGGAUCUCUAGAGGCAGACAUGUCAGCAAGUUAUUGAGGGAAUGCUCUGCAGCUGGUUUCCUCCCAGGUUCUGGUUGCCUCCCAUGUUAAGGGUCUACAGGGCUCCCAGCUCCAACAGCUAGGCAGGCCCUUAAUGGAAGCAGAUGGCUGUGAGGUAGCGAACCUGUAAUAUGUUAUGUAGUUGCACAUGGACAGGUCAUAGAGCAGCAUUCCUGGAUUUCAGAUCUCUAUGUCCAUCAGAAUGCUGGGGCUGCUCUGAUGGGACAGCUCCAAUCCCAGAGUCAUGUGCUCAUUCCUGGUCAAGUCCUGUAGCUGAAGGUUCAGAAAGACACUGCACAGCGCCCAGGCAGCAUGUCAGAAUGUUGUAGGCCAGCAGCAUCCACAGAAACAACAAACUUGAGCCCUGUUACCCCUCAGGCCUCCCUUCCACCUUCGACUCCUGCUCCCUUCCACCUCAGACUCCAGAGUGUAGGCUAACAUGCUGAGAAGGGAGCAGCUGAGUUCAGCUUCUCUGCAUGUGGCCUCACCCAUAGGCAGUAAUCCCAGGCUCUUCCAGUUGACACCAUGGAACGCUCUGCAACAGGAAGUGAGCUCUGUUUAGGACGUGGUGCCAGUUGGUGGGGGGAAGUAGCGUCGUGGGGGCGAGGAAAGACUACGUUCUGUAGCUAGCUGACCACUUUUCUGUAACAUUUAGGAUAAAUGUGAACUUCUAUCUUCUAUUGCAUUGAAAAUCGAUGUCGAGACAUUCUGUAAUAUAGAUCGAAUAUAGCUGAGAUCCUUGACAGAUGAUUAAUUCAUGUGUGAGAUGGAGUAUGUGGGAGAGCCCUUGUGCCUGUCAUUUUCCUCUGCAUGUUUUAGGAUCACAGACAGGAUUCCCACAGACACCUUUUUGGUUCCUCAGAUUUCAGUGCAGGAUACAGAAACGUUAAGUUGAAUCUUCAGAGGGAACCCAAAGCAUAGAUUCAGAAAUGUAACAGAGGAAAACUGGAGUUUUUCAAACUGUUUGUUGCAGUGUGUUCCUUGAGUUAUAGGAAAGUGAUUGUAUUUUAAAUAAAGUAAAAAUUUUCAUCACUUGGUAAUGGGUCAUUCAGUAACAGACUUAUACUGCAUGUGUGAAAUACUGUUUUUUCUCUCUCAAGUAAGCAUGGAAGUCAUUAAAAUUAUGUGGUAAGCAAGACCAGAACUUGAGAAGAAGAAAUUGUCAGACCUCUGAGUUUGCUGACAAUCUAGCUGAAAACAGUGUCUCACUUAAGUUCAGGAGUAGCAAUAAUUUGUAUUGCGAGAGUGCUGACAUUCUUGCUAUAUUUCAUUUCCAAGAGGAGCUUUAAAAGGCUGUCCUCUUCAGAUAAGUUUCCAAUAACAAACUAGUAGUGUUUCAAUGAAUUUCAAACUAAGAAACAAAUGGGUUUAUUGGUUGCCCUUAAGAUCAGAGGUGACAUGUUCUCUCUCCCAACAUGCCACACCCAGAGAGACUUUACCCAAAAGAAAUGAGGGGAUAACAGAAAGUAGGAGUUGUCAUAGCUGCAUAAACAUACCCCGUGCUAUAGUAUACCAAGAAACACAC